UCCAGGAAGGUCUGAGACAAGGUGCAGUGU
rnacentral:piRNA from 1 species